AGUUUCUUCGGAAAUGGAUUAGCGGCGAACGGGUGAGGAACACGUGAAGAAUCUGCCCUCCACUUUGGGAUAACACCGGGAAACCGGUGCUAAUACCGAAUAUUGAAACAUAAGUGGCAUCACUGAGUUUUGAAAGAAUUUCGGUGGAGGAUGACUUCGCGGCCUAUCAGCUAGUUGGGGGGGUAAUGGCUCACCAAGGCAACGACGGGUAGCCGGCCUGAGAGGGCGACCGGCCACACUGGGACUGAGACACGGCCCAGACUCCUACGGGAGGCAGCAGUGGGGAAUAUUGGGCAAUGGAGGAAACUCUGACCCAGCGACGCCGCGUGCGGGAUGAAGGCCUUCGGGUUGUAAACCGCUUUCAGUAGGGAAGAAGCGAAAGUGACGGUACCUACAAAAGAAGCACCGGCUAACUAUGUGCCAGCAGCCGCGGUAAUACAUAGGGUGCAAGCGUUGUCCGGAAUUAUUGGGCGUAAAGAGCUCGUAGGUCGUUUGUUACGUCGGAUGUGAAAACCUGAGGCUCAACCUCAGGCCUGCAUUCGAUACGGGCAAACUAGAGUUUGGUAGGGGAGACUGGAAUUCCUGGUGUAGCGGUGGAAAGCGCAGAUAUCAGGAGGAACACCAAUGGCGAAGGCAGGUCUCUGGGCCAAUACUGACACUGAGGAGCGAAAGUCUGGGGAGCGAACAGGAUUAGAUACCCUGGUAGUCCAGACCGUAAACGGUGGGCACUAGUUGUGGGAACCUUCCACGGUUUCUGCGACGCAGCUAACGCAUUAAGUGCCCCGCCUGGGGAGUACGAUCGCAAG
rnacentral:rRNA from 1 species